GCCCUAGCUAACGCGUUAAGUAUCCCGCCUGGGGAGUACCAUCGCCAGGUUGAAACUCCAAGGAAUUGACGGGUUCCCGCACAAGCGGUGGAGCAUGUGCUUUGAUUCCAGGCAACCCGAAGAACCUUACCUGGGCUUGACAUGGGAGCUCUCCCUUCCGGGGGGGUCAGCUAUGUGAAAGCAUGGUUAGUCCACACAGGUGUUGCAUGGCUGUCGUCAGCUCGUGUCGUGAGAUGUUCGGUUAAGUCCGGCAACGAGCGCAACCCUCGCUGUCAGUUACCAACGGAUAAUGCCGGGGACUCUGACAGGACUGCCGGUGAUAAACCGGAGGAAGGCGGGGAUGACGUCAAGUCAUUAUGACCCUUACGCCCAGGGCUAGACACGUGCUACAAUGGUCGGUACAAUGAGCAGCGAGACCGCGAGGUGGAGCAAAUCUCAAGAAGCCGGCCCUAGUACGGAUUGCAGUCUGCAACUCGACUGCAUGAAGCUGGAAUCGCUAGUAAUCGCGUAUCAGCAUGACGCGGUGAAUACGUUCCCGGGAAUUGUACACACCGCCCGUCAAACCAUGGGAAUCGGUAGCACUCGAAGUCGCUGACCCAACUUUAUUGAGGGAGGCGCCGAAAGUGAGAUUGGUGACUGGGGUUAAGUCGUAACAAGGUAGCCG
rnacentral:rRNA from 1 species